rnacentral:rRNA from 1 species
GAGUUUGAUCAUGGCUCAGAACAAACGCUGGCGGCGUGUCUUAAGCAUGCAAGUCGAGCGGCAGGCGCAGCAAUGCGCUGAGAGCGGCGGACUGGUGAGUAACGCGUGGGUAAUCUACCUUUGGCAUGGGGAUAGCCACUAGAAAUAGUGGGUAAUACCGAAUACGUUCCCUGGGGGGAGGUUUCAGGGAAGAAAGGGUGCUACGGCACCGGCCGGAGAUGAGCUCGCGUCCCAUUAGCUAGUUGGUGAGGUAACGGCCCACCAAGGCGAUGAUGGGUAGCCGGCCUGAGAGGGUGUACGGCCACACUGGGACUGAGAUACGGCCCAGACUCCUACGGGAGGCAGCAGCUAAGAAUAUUCCGCAAUGGACGAAAGUCUGACGGAGCGACGCCGCGUGGAUGAUGAAGGCCGAAAGGUUGUAAAGUCCUUUUGCUG